GCUACCUGAGGGCUGCUCGAGCUGGAAACUUGGAAAAGGCCCUUGACUACAUCAAGAAUGGAGUCGACAUCAACAUCUGCAAUCAGAACGGGUUGAAUGCACUCCAUCUCGCUUCCAAAGAAGGGCACGUGGAAGUCGUCUCUGAGCUGAUACAUCGAGACGCCAACGUAGAUGCAGCCACGAAGAAAGGAAAUACAGCCUUGCAUAUAGCAUCUCUGGCAGGGCAGACGGAAGUCGUGAAAGUACUGGCAACAAAUGGAGCCAACCUC